CCUACGGGUGGCUGCAGUGGGGAAUAUUGCACAAUGGGCGCAAGCCUGAUGCAGCCAUGCCGCGUGUGUGAAGAAGGCCUUCGGGUUGUAAAGCACUUUCAGCGGGGAGGAAGGCGUUAAGGUUAAUAACCUUGGCGAUUGACGUUACCCGCAGAAGAAGCACCGGCUAACUCCGUGCCAGCAGCCGCGGUAAUACGGAGGGUGCAAGCGUUAAUCGGAAUUACUGGGCGUAAAGCGCACGCAGGCGGUCUGUCAAGUCGGAUGUGAAAUCCCCGGGCUCAACCUGGGAACUGCAUUCGAAACUGGAAGGCUAGAGUCUUGUAGAGGGGGGUAGAAUUCCAGGUGUAGCGGUGAAAUGCGUAGAGAUCUGGAGGAAUACCGGUGGCGAAGGCGGCCCCCUGGACAAAGACUGACGCUCAGGUGCGAAAGCGUGGGGAGCAAACAGGAUUAGAUACCCCGGUAGUC
rnacentral:rRNA from 1 species